CCUACGGGAGGCAGCAGUGGGGGAUAUUGCACAAUGGGGGGAACCCUGAUGCAGCGACGCCGCGUGGGUGAAGAAGCGCCUCGGCGCGUAAAGCCCUGUCAGCAGGGAAGAAAAUGACGGUACCUGAAGAAGAAGCCCCGGCUAACUACGUGCCAGCAGCCGCGGUAAUACGUAGGGGGCAAGCGUUAUCCGGAUUUACUGGGCGUAAAGGGCGCGUAGGCGGGAACUUAAGUUAGAUGUGAAAACUCCGGGCUUAACCUGGAGACUGCAUUUAAAACUGGGUUUCUUGAGGGCAGGAGAGGAAAGUGGAAUUCCUAGUGUAGCGGUGAAAUGCGUAGAUAUUAGGAGGAACACCAGUGGCGAAGGCGACUUUCUGGACUGCACCUGACGCUGAGGCGCGAAAGCAUGGGGAGCGAACAGGAUUAGAUACCCUUGUAGUC
rnacentral:rRNA from 1 species